rnacentral:rRNA from 1 species
GACGAACGCUGGCGGCGGGCUUAACACAUGCAAGUCGAACGGAAAGGCCCUGCUUGUUUGGGGUGCUCGAGUGGCGAACGGGGGAGUAACACGUGAGUAACCUGCCCUUGACUUUGGGAUAACUUCAGGAAACUGGGGCUAAUACCGGAUAGGAGCUCCUGCUGCAUGGUGGGGGUUGGAAAGUUUCGGCGGUUGGGGAUGGACGCGCGGCUUAUCAGCUUGUUGGUGGGGUAGUGGCUUACCAAGGCUUUGACGGGUAGCCGGCCUGAGAGGGUGACCGGCCACAUUGGGCCUGAGAUACGGCGCAGACUCCUACGGGAGGCAGCAGUGGGGAAUAUUGCACAAUGGGCGGAAGCCUGAUGCAGCAACGCCGCGUCUGGGAUGACGGCCUUCGGGUUGUAAACCGCUUUCGCCUGUGACGAAGCGUGAGUGACGGUAAUGGGUAAAGAAGCACCGGCUAACUACGUG